UGGGGAAUAUUGCACAAUGGGCGCAAGCCUGAUGCAGCCAUGCCGCGUGUGUGAAGAAGGCCUUCGGGUUGUAAAGCACUUUCAGCGGGGAGGAAGGCGUUAAGGUUAAUAACCUUGGCGAUUGACGUUACCCGCAGAAGAAGCACCGGCUAACUCCGUGCCAGCAGCCGCGGUAAUACGGAGGGUGCAAGCGUUAAUCGGAAUUACUGGGCGUAAAGCGCACGCAGGCGGUCUGUCAAGUCGGAUGUGAAAUCCCCGGGCUCAACCUGGGAACUGCAUUCGAAACUGGCAGGCUAGAGUCUAGUAGAGGGGGGUAGAAUUCCAGGUGUAGCGGUGAAAUGCGUAGAGAUCUGGAGGAAUACCGGUGGCGAAGGCGGCCCCCUGGACAAAGACUGACGCUCAGGUGCGAAAGCGUGGGGAGCAAACAGG
rnacentral:rRNA from 1 species